rnacentral:lncRNA from 1 species
UUUUAUUUUGGACCUUGUUCAUAAUAUGUUUAGAAACUGCAGGAUUCACUCAAGUUUGAAAUUAGAGAGGAGAUGGUGGUAAAUAAUGAUGAAGGAUUUAUGAAGAGGAGGAUGGAUUUGGAAACCCAAGAUUAUGGAGAUACUGGAGCAAAUAGAGAUCAUGACCCAAAACCUCCCACUAAUGUCUAAAAUAUACAUCAAACUUAUCUUGUGUAUCUCUUUUUGUCUCUAUUUAUGUCUUCGUCUAAUUAAAAAUUGUUAUAUAAUUAAAAAGAAAAAUCAUAAAAAAAACAACUUAUAUUUUUAUAUUACUUGAUGUAAUUUGAUCAAAAGACAUUAUUUUUUUGGAAUUCGAGAAGGAGGCUCUAAGUAUGUGUUUCCUUAUCUUAUAAAUACAAUAGGUUAAUGUAUAUGUUUUUUUCUAUCUUUAUUUUUAGUUAUCUUGCUCACAUUUAUAUCUUUGUUGUUCUACAUAGAUAUCAUUCUUAUCAAAAUAUGAAACCCCACCCUUCAACUAUGGUGGAUCCAUUACUAUUGGUUGAAGUAGUAAAGUCUCAUACCGAUUAAGAAUAUAUGAAUUGAUAAUUAUUUAUAAUAUAUAGUACGAUUGUGAUGUAGCCCGAUAUAAUCAUACCUAUAUAAGAUGAUGUAGUCUAUUAUUUGAUACAAUGAUAUAAUCUCUCAAAUAAUCUCUCAUUGAGUGAUUGAAACGUGGAAUCCACUAGCAUCUAUAAUGAGCCUAGGGAAAGGCCAAACAUGGAAAAUGCUAACCACGGAUACCAAAUCCUCAUCUUAGUAAUACCACCUCAAUAUCAACAUACUCCAAACUCAAACAAUAUAAGAUAUGGAUGGACUUUGUGUAACACCUCAGUUAUGUCAUGCAAUCUCUCAAACCCAUACAUAAUUAAGCGUGUUAUGCAGUAUUUUAUUCCCCUCUAACGGAACCUUCCGCGAUUCAAACCCGUGACCUCAGAGAUAAAUAAUCACUAUACCACUAAGUCUCGCUACCAUUAAACUAAACUUUGGGUGGAGACGUGAUUAAGUCCAACUUCACUUCAUAAAUCCCACACCCUAAUCCCAAUGAGAUCAAUUCAUAAUUAUUCGGGAUUCAUAAAAUGGUUUAAGGAAUAGAGUGUAGGAGGUUGUGAGUUUGAGUCACAUGUAUAACAAAUUUAAAAAAUAAAAAAAUGAAUUAUAAAGUAGUUUGAUAAUUAAGAUGAAUGAUUUGAGUGAAUGAUGUUGAGAGUUCAAAUCUUACCUAAAAUAAAUACUAACAUAAUAAAAAAGUUUAUAAUUAUCUUGGAAAGAUACCAAUCAAAAGAUAAAAAAUGAUAAUGAACUUCAAGAUGCAAAUAUUAGAAUAAUAUUACUUUUUACUAAUCCAACUUGAUCCAUUCAUCAUAAUCAAAUCAACAAUUGAUUAACAACUCUUAUCAUUAAGUAACAAUACACCAUAGUAAGAAGAGCCUCUCCAAACCAAGUGGUUGGAUUCUAAUCUCUAAUAUCCUCACACUCUUCAAUUGUUGAUAAAUCAAUUUAGUCAUAUAGCAAGUGUGGGAUAUCAUUCAUUCGGACUAAGAUCCUUUCAAGUUAUUUUUGUUAGUCAAAAGUAAAUAACAAUGAAAAGAGUUGACGAAAAGUAAUUUGAGACUUAUUUUCCAACAAAUUUUCUCUUAUUUUAUUAUGUUAAGGAAGUUAGAUAUAAGGUAAUUUUCUUAGUGGGUCGAUAUAAAAUUUGUAAAAUGUCAUACAUAACCCUUGUGUCAAUCUCUCUUUCACAUAAUCACAUGAGAGAAAAUUUGACAUAGAUCUGAAUCAUCAUUCACUACCUUAGAAAUAGUUAUUGUGGUUAUCUAAGUGAUGUUGUUAGGUUUUGUAUCUUCUCAAAAAUCUGGACUAGAACAAUAUAUACUGAACCUAACUUAGCUCUAAAUAUUGAAAUUAUCAUAUAAAUAAAAGUUAUAAACCAAUCAUUUGACAAGAGCAUGCAAAACUUGGUUCUUUAGUCUAUGAAGUUGGUAGCAUAUAUAUACUUUUAUUUUUAUUUCACUGUUCAUUUUAUAUCAUUAAACCAUAAUUUCUAAUUUGGAAUAAAGAUUUUAAAAGUAUAGAAUUCAAGUAGUAUAGGAAGCUUCUAGCAUCAAUCAAAGGGCGAAUUUGUUCAUUCUCAACCUUAGCCAAAAUAAUAGUUCAUGGAAUUCCAUAAGUAUCAUAUGUUUCAUAGAGACUGCUAGUUCAAAAUAAGCAUCAUAUGUUUCAAAAAUGAACAUUACUAGUUAUCUUGUUAUAAACUAUUUUGCUCUUUUUAUUUUGGACCUUGUUCAUAAUAUGUUUAGAAACUGCAGGAUUCACUCAAGUUUGAAAUUAGAGAGGAGAUGGUGGUAAAUAAUGAUGAAGGAUUUAUGAAGAGGAGGAUGGAUUUGGAAACCCAAGAUUAUGGAGAUACUGGAGCAAAUAGAGAUCAUGACCCAAAACCUCCCACUAAUGUCUAAAAUAUACAUCAAACUUAUCUUGUGUAUCUCUUUUUGUCUCUAUUUAUGUCUUCGUCUAAUUAAAAAUUGUUAUAUAAUUAAAAAGAAAAAUCAUAAAAAAAACAACUUAUAUUUUUAUAUUACUUGAUGUAAUUUGAUCAAAAGACAUUAUUUUUUUGGAAUUCGAGAAGGAGGCUCUAAGUAUGUGUUUCCUUAUCUUAUAAAUACAAUAGGUUAAUGUAUAUGUUUUUUUCUAUCUUUAUUUUUAGUUAUCUUGCUCACAUUUAUAUCUUUGUUGUUCUACAUAGAUAUCAUUCUUAUCAAAAUAUGAAACCCCACCCUUCAACUAUGGUGGAUCCAUUACUAUUGGUUGAAGUAGUAAAGUCUCAUACCGAUUAAGAAUAUAUGAAUUGAUAAUUAUUUAUAAUAUAUAGUACGAUUGUGAUGUAGCCCGA